UACGUAGGGUGCAAGCGUUAUCCGGAAUUACUGGGCGUAAAGGGUGCGUAGGCGGUUAGUUAAGUCUGUUGUGAAAUCCCCGGGCUCAACCUGGGAAUGGCAAUGGAUACUGGCUGGCUAGAGUGUGUCAGAGGAUGGUGGAAUUCCCGGUGUAGCGGUGAAAUGCGUAGAGAUCGGGAGGAACACCAGUGGCGAAGGCGGCCUUCUGGACCAAUACUGACGCUCAUGCACGAAAGCGUGGGGAGCAAACAGG
rnacentral:rRNA from 1 species